rnacentral:rRNA from 1 species
AUUGAACGCUGGCGGCAGGCCUAACACAUGCAAGUCGAGCGGAGCGGCGGACGGGUGAGUAAUGCCUAGGAAUCUGCCUGGUAGUGGGGGAUAACGUCCGGAAAGGGGCGCUAAUACCGCAUACUAUCAGAUGAGCCUAGGUCGGAUUAGCUAGUUGGUGGGGUAAAGGCCUACCAAGGCGACGAUCCGUAACGGGUCUGAGAGGAUGAUCAGGAACACGGGAACUGAGAAAGGGUCCAGACCCCUACGGGAGGAAGAAGGGGGGAAUAUUGGCCAAUGGGCGAAAGCUGGAUCCAGCCAUGCGGCGUGUGUGAAGAAGGCUUUCGGAUUGUAAAGCACUUUAAGUUGGGAGGCGUUACCAACAGAAUAAGCACCGGCUAACUUCGUGCCAGCAGCCGCGGUAAUAC